GAAGGGGACAAAUAGAGUUCAAGGGGAGCAAAUGCUCUAUAAUUUAGUUUGAGUGUUUCAAAAAAUAUAGGAAAAAUUAGAGGGAAAGUUUGAAGUUGAGUCAUCUUUUUAGACUUUAUAAGUAAAAUGAGAGUGGGCAGGAUCUUUUUCGGGUCGUCAGGAUUAGGUGUUUUUUAAGUUCAGGAUGUCAGGAUUUGAUAUUUUUUUUAUUCCAGAGUGAGACCUCAGAAUUUCAUGUUUUAAAGCUGGGGUUUUCAGGAUCAGGACCCCUCCGAUCCCCCCUCUCACACAAUGACUUAUUUAGACUUACCUUCUAAUUCUAUAAAAAUCACAACUCAUAUCAGGAACAAAAACACUAUGUCUACUGAUAUGCAAACCUAAAAACAGACACAAAAAUAUCAUAAAAUAGUGAUUGAAAGAUUGAUUGCACUUUGAAUGUAUAUGUAUAAUUCCGAC
rnacentral:lncRNA from 1 species